UGGCGGCGUGCUUAACACAUGCAAGUCGAACGGAGUUACUUUAUGGAAGUUCUCGGAUGGAAGUAAAGUGACUCAGUGGCGGACGGGUGAGUAACGCGUGGGUAACCUGCCUUAUACAGGGGGAUAACAGCCGGAAACGGUUGCUAAUACCGCAUAAGCGCGCAGUAUUGCAUGAUACCGUGUGAAAAGAUUUAUCGGUAUAAGAUGGACCCGCGUCUGAUUAGCUAGUUGGUGAGGUAAUGGCUCACCAAGGCGACGAUCAGUAGCCGGCUUGAGAGAGUGAACGGCCACAUUGGGACUGAGACACGGCCCAAACUCCUACGGGAGGCAGCAGUGGGGAAUAUUGCACAAUGGGGGAAACCCUGAUGCAGCGACGCCGCGUGAGUGA
rnacentral:rRNA from 1 species